CAGUCGCCGCGGUAAUACGAAGGGUGCAAGCGUUAAUCGGAACUACUGGGCGUAAAGCGUGCGUAGGCGGUGAGUUAAGUCUGCUGUGAAAUCCCCGGGCUCAACCUGGGAAUGGCAGUGGAUACUGGCUCGCUAGAGUGUGUCAGAGGAUGGUGGAAUUCCCGGUGUAGCGGUGAAAUGCGUAGAGAUCGGGAGGAACAUCAGUGGCGAAGGCGGCCAUCUGGGACAACACUGACGCUGAGGCACGAAAGCGUGGGGAGCAAACAGGAUUAGAUACCCCUGUAGUCCCUGUCUCUUAUAC
rnacentral:rRNA from 1 species